UCUGAUUAGUUAGUUGGCAGGGUAACGGCCUACCAAGACAACGAUCAGUAGCCGGCUUGAGAGAGUGGACGGCCACAUUGGGACUGAGACACGGCCCAGACUCCUGCGGGAGGCAGCAGUGGGGAAUAUUGCACAAUGGGGGGAACCCUGAUGCAGCAAUGCCGCGUGGGUGAAGAAGCACUCCGGUGCGUAAAGCCCUGUCAGCAGGGAAGAAAAUGACAGUACCUGGACAAGAAGCCCCGGCUAACUACGUGCCAGCAGCCGCGGUAAUACGUAGGGGGCAAGCGUUAUCCGGAUUUACUGGGUGUAAAGGGAGCGCAGGCGGCGUGGCAAGUCAGAUGUGAAAACCCGGGGCCCAACCCCGGGAGUGCAUUUGAAACUGCCAUGCUGGAGUGCCGGAGAGGUAAGCGGAAUUCCUAGUGUAGCGGUGAAAUGCGUAGAUAUUAGGAGGAACACCAGUGGCGAAGGCGGCUUACUGGACGGUAACUGACGCUGAGGCUCGAAAGCGUGGGGAGCAAACAGGAUUAGAUACCCUGGUAGUCCACGC
rnacentral:rRNA from 1 species